UUCAUGAUUUCUUUUUGUUUCCUUGAUUAAUUCUUUUGUUUUUGCCUAAACUCAUGGUUGAUUCCCUUUUGAUGUGUUGCACAUGCAAUUUCACCAAUUUUGCUAGAAAUAUCCGCUGCCAGAAGUGCAAAGGUGAGGGACCAAAGAAGUCAGGAGGAAGUGAUAUUGAAAUGAAGAAAGGUGAUUGGAAUUAUCCAAAGUGGGUCAAUUUUUCUCAAAAUGUGAUGCAGGAAAAUAGAUACGGAGGCAGAAGGAUUCUUGGAAGCUUGGCAUGUGUGUUGAGGCUGAAUGGAAUUGAUGGGUUGCGUGUCGAUUCGAGGACGACGUUAUUUUUAGUCUUUUAAAGUAUGUUUUUAUGUAUUUUCCGCAUUUAGUUUUGUAAACAAUUUAAUUUAAUUUAAAGUUAUGUUUUAUUUUAAAACAAUGGGAUCCCAUAUCGCACAUUUAUGUGUUUUGAAUAUUUACUUUGGAGUUUUUAAUAAAGUUACGGAUACUUCUUAUGUA